GUCAUUCCCCCUAGCUGUCAUUCUGGCCUGUGAGCAGUAGACCUUGUUUUCCCAACCACUCUAACACUCAGGAGCCCUUCUUUAUCAGUACGGCAAAGAACAGGAAGCCUUACUUAUGAACCCUUGGAAUGAAUGGAUACCUACUGGAGAGCCACCAUAAAGAGGGAGGACAGCAUGAACGGAAGCUUUCCUGUCCGAGCUGUUGGCCUUCUUGCAGGGUUCUGAGAUCAGAAACGGAAGUUUCAAAAUACCGAAAGUUCGUUUAUGUCGAACACACUGGUUAAGCUAAAAGCAGGAAGUUCAAGAAAGCCUGAACUCAGGAGGUUUUUCAGCCCAAUUUGGAUCCACAUCUGCGCUUCUGGAUUUUCCACUGAGUCGACCCACCCGCCUUCAGCUGCUCCCUGCUUGAUGAGUCU
ensembl:antisense Gm27201 predicted gene 27201